UACGGGGGGGGUAAGCGUUGUUCGGAAUUACUGGGCGUAAAGGGCUCGUAGGCGGCCAACUAAGUCAGACGUGAAAUCCCCAGGCUCAACCUGGGAACUGCGUCUGAUACUGGAUGGCUUGAAUCCGGGAGAGGGAUGCAGAAUUCCAGGUGUAGCGGUGAAAUGCGUAGAUAUCAGGAGGAACACCAAUGGCGAAGGCAGAUCUCUGGGCCGUAACUGACGCUGAGGAGCGAAAGCAUGGGGAGCGAACAGG
rnacentral:rRNA from 1 species